UACGGGGGGAGCAAGCGUUGUUCGGAUUUACUGGGCGUAAAGGGCGCGUAGGCGGCCUUCUAAGUCGAACGUGAAAUCUCCGGGCUCAACCCGGGAACUGCGUCCGAUACUGGAAGGCUUGAAUCCGGGAGAGGGAUGCGGAAUUCCAGGUGUAGCGGUGAAAUGCGUAGAUAUCUGGAGGAACACCGGUGGCGAAGGCGGCAUCCUGGACCGGUAUUGACGCUGAGGCGCGAAAGCCAGGGGAGCAAACGGG
rnacentral:rRNA from 1 species